CUCCCGAUUUUUAAACAACUUUAGUGAUGGCGCUGUAAUUGAAAAUAAAGUUGCUGUGAAGUUAACCAACAUUAAUUAUUCUAACAUUUGGUCGUGUCUCGACAGGACACGAUUGAAGUAUGAGUUCAGAAGCGACUCUAAGUUCCACGAGCAAGGUUCAAGUAGCUGCAGAUAUUGUCACAGAGUUCCUGGAAGUUGCCAUCCAUUGCAUUCUUCAUCACCGAGAUCUUUACCCUGCAGGAGUGUUUGAGGCACGAAAGAAGUACAAUGUCCCCGUGCAGAUGUGUCUUCAUCCCGAUGUCAUCCAGUACAUUACCAAUAUUCUUGAAAGUAUCAAAUUACUGUUGGAAGCACAGGAAGUUAACCGAGUAGGACUGGUCAUUCUUGACUCCAAACAGACCCCGAUAGAACGUUUUGUCUUUGAAAUUGCUUAUCCUUCCCUCUUAUCAGGCUUUGGUUGUGAUAUUCUACUGACUGAGUUGGAGCAAUCCCUAAGGGCAUUCCUGUUGAAGAUAAAUGUCUGUGAUGCACUGCUGAAACCUCUUCCUCAAGAUGUCACCUGGGUUAUCCAUAUUCAUACCUGUGACUCUGCCAUGUUAAGACUGGAAGAAAAACAGAUUCUAAAGAAUUUUCCUUGGAUUGAAGCUGAAGAAAAACAGAAAAACAUGUCCAAUUCGUCGCUGGUGCCAAUGAAGACUGUGAAUUCAGAUAUUGUGAAGAUGCAAUUAUUUGUUGAGGAGAGUUCUUUGAAACGGAAGCUGGACACUUGAUGAAUAAAUACCAAGAGAAUUGUAUUUUCUCUUCAAACAGAAGAAAGACCAUUUGCCGAUGUGUGUGUGUGUGUGUGUGUGUGUGUGUGUGCGUGUAUGUUUGUGUGUCUGUGUUUGUC
rnacentral:misc_RNA from 1 species